GACGAAGGGCUCGACUGUUAUUCGUUUUGAUUGGGUGUAAAGGGUGAGUAGGCGGUCUAUCGACAAUAUUCGGUCAAAGCGCAGAGUGUUCCUUUGCGAAAGCCGAAAUGUGAGAGGUAAGACUUGUGUUAAAUAGGGGUUUAGGCAAAUUCGUGCGUAGGGGUAGAAUCCAUCGAGAUACGAAUGAACGCCAGCUGGCAAAGGCGCUUUUCCUGAUUUAACAGACGCUGAGGCACGGAAGCGUAGGGAGCAAACAGG
rnacentral:rRNA from 1 species